rnacentral:siRNA from 1 species
UCUUUGUCAGGUGAGUUCUAACUC